rnacentral:rRNA from 1 species
AGUGAACGCUGGCGGUAGGCCUAACACAUGCAAGUCGAACGGCAGCACAGUAAGAGCUUGCUCUUACGGGUGGCGAGUGGCGGACGGGUGAGGAAUACAUCGGAAUCUACUUUUUCGUGGGGGAUAACGUAGGGAAACUUACGCUAAUACCGCAUACGACCUACGGGUGAAAGCAGGGGAUCUUCGGACCUUGCGCGAUUGAAUGGGCCGAUGUCGGAUUAGCUAGUUGGCGGGGUAAAGGCCCACCAAGGCGACGAUCCGUAGCUGGUCUGAGAGGAUGAUCAGCCACACUGGAACUGAGACACGGUCCAGACUCCUACGGGAGGCAGCAGUGGGGAAUAUUGGACAAUGGGCGAAAGCCUGAUCCAGCCAUACCGCGUGGGUGAAGAAGGUCUUCGGGUUGUAAAGCCCUUUUAUUGGGAAAGAAAAGCAGCAGGUUAAUACCCCGCUGUUCUGACGGUACCCAAAGAAUAAGCACCGGCUAACUUCGUG